GGAGCUGUGGCCGAGUGGUCGAAGGCACGCCCCUGCUAAGGGCGCAGACGGGAAACCGUCUCGAGGGUUCGAAUCCCUUCGGCUCCGCCA
rnacentral:tRNA from 1 species